GAUGAACGCUGGCGGCGUGCCUAAUACAUGCAAGUCGAGCGAACGGACGAGAAGCUUGCUUCGCUGAUGUUAGCGGCGGACGGGUGAGUAACACGUGGAUAACCUACCUAUAAGACUGGGAUAACUUCGGGAAACCGGAACUAAUACCGGAGGAUAUUUUGAACCGCAGGGUUCAAAAGUGAAAGACGGUCUUGCUGGCACUUAUAGAGGGAUCCAGGCUGCAUUAGCUAGUUGGUAAGGUAACGGCUUUCCAGGGCAACGAUGCAUAGCCGACCUGAGAGGGUGAUCGCCCGCCCUGGAACUGAGACACGGUCCAGACUCCUACGGGAGGCAGCAGUAGGGAAUCUUCGGCAAUGGGCGAAAGCCUGACGGAGCAACGCCGCGUGAGUGAUGAAGGUCUUCGGAUCGUAAAACCCGGUUAUUAGGGAAGAACAUAUGUGUAAGUAACUGUGCACAUCUUGACGGUAACUAAUCAGAAAGCAACGGCUAACUACGUG
rnacentral:rRNA from 1 species